AUGGCCCACAUAUCAGAUAUUAAACUGAUAAGAACAGAUACUACACUUGAUCUUAGCCAAAAGGCCGAGAAAGGUAUGCUUUGCGGCGAUGACCUGGGUCUCCUUUUAUAG
rnacentral:rRNA from 1 species